CAAAAACAAAAACACCCCUUCAGGAACCAAAGUAGUUCUAGUACCCGGCAAUUAGCACGAGAUUCUGAAGGGCUUCAUUGCACCAUCUCUCAAGCCCAGGGCUUGUCAUUCAGACGUCACCAUCCUCUUAGAAAGAAGAAUAAACAGUGGAAAAUAGGAGCCUCUCUUGUCCAGUUGAUGUGGAUAUUUCCCCGUGCAUGGUGUAGCCAGUGGG